rnacentral:rRNA from 1 species
CGGAGAAUGAGCCUGAGAAACGGCUACCACUUCCAAGGAAGGCAGCAGGCGCGCAAAUUACCCAAUCCCGACACGGGGAGGUAGUGACAAUAUGUAACAAUAUACGGCUUUAUUGUCGUAUAAUUGGAAUGAGUACAAUUUAAAUCCCUUAACGAGGAACAAUUGGAGGGCAAGUCUGGAGCCAGCAGCCGCGGUAAUUCCAGCUCCAAUAGCGUAUAUUAAAGUUGUUGCAGUUAAAAAGCUCGUAGUUGGACCUUGGGCCUGGACAGGCGGUCCGCCUCACGGCGUGUACUGUCUUGCUGGGCCUUUCCUCUUGGUGAUCUGUGGUUUCGGCCGCAGGGAACCAGGACCUUUACUUUGAAAAAAUUAGAGUGUUCAAAGCAGGCUUUACGCCACAAUAUAUUAGCAUGGAAUAAUAAAAUAGGACGUGCGGUUCUAUUUUGUUGGUUUUUGGGAUCGCCGUAAUGAUUAAUAAGGACAGUCGGAGGCAUUAGUACUCACAUGCUAGAGGUGAAAUUCUUGGAUUUUGUGAAGACUAACUUCUGCGAAAGCAUUUGCCAAGGAUGUUUUCAUUAAUCAAGAACGAAGGUUAGGGUAUCGAAAACGAUUAGAUACCGUUGUAGUCUUAAUAGUAAACUAUGCCGACUAGGGAUCGGUCGAUGUUAUUUUCUUGACUCGAUCGGCACCCUACAAGAAAUCAAAGUUUUUGGGUUCUGGGAGGAGUAUGGCCGCAAGGCUGAAACUUAAGGAAAUUGACGGAAGGGGCACCACCAGCAGUGGAGCCUGCGGCUUAAUUUGAUUCAACACGGGGA